UACGGAGGGUGCUAGCGUUGUUCGGAAUCACUGGGCGUAAAGGGCGUGUAGGCGGUCUGUUAAGUCUGAUGUGAAAUCCCCUCGCUCAACGAGGGAACUGCGUCGGAUACUGGCAGACUUGAGUACCGGAGAGGAAGGUGGAAUUCCCGGUGUAGCGGUGAAAUGCGUAGAUAUCGAGAGGAACACCUGCGGCGAAGGCGGGUUGCUGGGCUGACACUGACGCUGAAGCGCGAAAGCUAGGGGAGCGAACGGG
rnacentral:rRNA from 1 species